rnacentral:rRNA from 1 species
GCAUAUCAAUAAGCGGAGGAAAAGAAACUAACAAGGAUUCCCCUAGUAACGGCGAGUGAAGCGGGAAGAGCUCAAAUUUGAAAGCUGGUACCUUCGGUGCCCGCGUUGUAAUCUCGAGAAGUGUUUUCCGUGCUGGACCAUGUACAAGUUCCUUGGAAUAGGACGUCAUAGAGGGUGAAAAUCCCGUACUUGACAUGGACGCCCAGUGCUUUGUGAUACACUCUCCACGAGUCGAGUUGUUUGGGAAUGCAGCUCAAAAUGGGUGGUAAAUUCCAUCUAAAGCUAAAUAUUGGGGAGAGACCGAUAGCGAACAAGUACCGUGAGGGAAAGAUGAAAAGCACUUUGGAAAGAGAGUUAAACAGUACGUGAAAUUGUCGAAAGGGAAGCGCUUGAAGUUAGACAUGCCUAUUAGGAUUCAGCCUUGCUUUUGCUUGGUGUAUUUCCUGGUAAGCAGGCCAGCAUCAGUUUUGUCUGUCGGAUAAGGGUAGAAGGAAUGUGGCCCCUCGGGGUGUUAUAGCCUUUUACUGGAUACGGCGGAUGGGACUGAGGACCGCAGUGCGCCUUUAUGGCGGGCCUUUUGGCACCUUCGCACUUAGGAUGCUGGCGUAAUGGCUUUAAGCGACCCGUCUUGAAACACGGACC